CAGCAAUAGAAAAUUUGAACGUCAGUCAAGUAGCCACACCCCCUCAUUAUUCUACAAGUUCACCAGGACACAAUUAGGCGAUUAUUAAAA